UACGGAGGGUGCAAGCGUUAUCCGGAUUUAUUGGGUUUAAAGGGUACGUAGGCGGUGGAGUAAGUCAGUGGUGAAAGCCAACAGCUCAACUGUUGAACUGCCAUUGAUACUGCUUCACUUGAGUGCAGUUGAGGUGGGCGGAAUUCCCGGUGUAGAGGUGAAAUUCGUAGAUAUCGGGAGGAACACCGGUGGCGAAGGCGGCGAUCUGGGUCGAUACUGACGCUGAGGUGCGAAAGCGUGGGGAGCGAACAGG
rnacentral:rRNA from 1 species